rnacentral:rRNA from 1 species
GUAGAGGAUGCUUUUGGUUAGGUGCCUUCUGAGUUCCCUGGAACGGGACGCCAGAGAGGGUGAGAGCCCCGUACGGUUGGACACCGAGCCUCUAUAUAGCUCCUUCGACGAGUCGAGUAGUUUGGGAAUGCUGCUCUAAAUGGGAGGUAAAUUUCUUCUAAAGCUAAAUACCGGCCAGAGACCGAUAGCGCACAAGUAGAGUGAUCGAAAGAUGAAAAGUACUUUGAAAAGAGGGUUAAAUAGCACGUGAAAUUGUUGAAAGGGAAGCGUUUGCGACCAGACUUUUUCCAGGCGGAUCAUCCUGUGUUCUCACCGGUGCACUUCGCCUGGUUUAGGCCAGCAUCGGUUCUCUUAGGGGGAUAAAGGCCUGGGGAACGUAGCUCCUUCGGGAGUGUUAUAGCCCCUAGCGUAAUACCCUUCGGGGGACCGAGGAACGC